AUUGAACGCUGGCGGCAUGCCUUACACAUGCAAGUCGAACGGUAACGCGGGGCAACCUGGCGACGAGUGGCGAACGGGUGAGUAAUGCAUCGGAACGUGCCCAGUAGUGGGGGAUAGCCCGGCGAAAGCCGGAUUAAUACCGCAUACGACCUACGGGUGAAAGGGGGGGAUCGCAAGACCUCUCGCUAUUGGAGCGGCCGAUGUCAGAUUAGGUUGUUGGUGGGGUAAAGGCCUACCAAGCCGACGAUCUGUAGCUGGUCUGAGAGGACGACCAGCGACACUGGGACUGAGACACGGCCCAGACUCCUACGGGAGGCAGCAGUGGGGAAUUUUGGACAAUGGACGAAAGCCUGAUCCAGCCAUGCCGCGUGCGGGAAGAAGGCCUUCGGGUUGUAACCCGCUUUUGUCAGGGAAGAAAUCUUCUGGGUUAAUACCUCGGGAGGAUGACGGUACCUGAAGAAUAAGCACCGGCUAACUACGUGCCAGCAGCCGCCGUAAGAC
rnacentral:rRNA from 1 species